GCGCUCGUAGUUAAAUGGUAGAACAUCUGGUUGCCAAUCAGAGGACACGGGUUCGAUUCCCGUCGAGCGCA
rnacentral:tRNA from 1 species